rnacentral:rRNA from 1 species
AGUGGGGAAUAUUGCGCAAUGGGCGAAAGCCUGACGCAGCGACGCCGCGUGGGGGAGGAAGGCCUUAGGGUUGUAAACCCCUGUCAGAUGGGACGAACCGUAUAUCGGCGAAUAGCUGAUAUGCCUGACGGUACCAUCAGAGGAAGCUCCGGCUAACUCCGUGCCAGCAGCCGCGGUAAUACGGGGGGAGCAAGCGUUGUUCGGAAUUACUGGGCGUAAAGGGCGCGUAGGCGGCCUGGUCAGUCGAGUGUGAAAUGCCGGGGCUCAACCCCGCGCACUGCAUUCGAUACUGCCUGGCUAGAGAAAGGUAGAGGCGAGCGGAAUUCCCGGUGUAGCGGUGGAAUGCGUAGAUAUCGGGAAGAACACCUGUGGCGAAGGCGGCUCGCUGGGCCUUUUCUGACGCUGAAGCGCGAAAGCGUGGGGAGCAAACAGGAUUAGAUACCCUGGUAGUCCACGCCGUAAACGCUGGGUACUAGGUGUCGGGAGGCUUGGCCCUCUCGGUGUCGACGC